GGUCAAGGAGGGUAGUCAGCCUAACUACCCAGCAUGUUACUAAGCAACGCUUCCUCUCAGGUGAUCCUGCACUAACUUGCAUAUUGAUUUGUUAACUAAUUCCAACACCACUUGCAGGAAGCACAGUGGUGAAAUCAAACUGCCAUAGCCAGAAACCUAAACCAGUGAGACUUCCAGCAGGGGAUAAGGUUUUCACAAUUAUGGAGCAUGGGGCAUGGCAACAUUUAUUUUCCUCCCACUGGUGUCAAAAGAGCCAUGUUUGCUUCAUGAAGGUCUGGAAUCCUCCUUGAAGGUGGCAGCAGUGAGCAGAGAUGGGCAAAUCUAUUCAUUUCAUUCCUGCUGGAUUUCUCUGACUGCCCAUUCAUUCCGGUCUGUGUUGGCAUCAGGUUACAAAUGCAGCAAAAUUCAGACCCAGAAAGGGCACCCAGAAAUGUGUAUACAUUUUAGUGUGCAUUUUCUCUAACAGAUGCAUUUUAUGAAGACUAUUCCAAGUGAGUGUCAUUUUUCCCAAGCACUUCUCCAAGAAUAAUGCAUUUUUGCUUCCUUUCCCUUAUUAUGCACAUGUUUAUGGGGACUGUAUCAAUUGCAGACUAGAUUAUAAAAUUCAGAAAUGUGUGGAUUUCCACAUGCAGGUGUAUUCUGGUUUGCCUGUAUGUUCAGCAGGCAAGACAGUUUUGAAGUCCGUAUACAAAUUGCUUUAGACCUAACGAGAGGAUGACAAAUAAUCAGGAAGGGGAUUAAGCAAUCCCUCACUCUCUUUUGCCAGAAACUAUGGCCCCUUCUCACAGACGUCUGCAGAAGAGGAAGGGGCUGUUCACUCCAUGCAGCCUUGUUGUAACAUGUGAUUCAUCCCUAAGAAAACAAGGAACCCACUGAAAACUCCUCUCUCCUCAUAUAUCCAUCAUGGAUUUAAAAUUAAUUUAACAUUCCAGUACUCCAGAGACAUGCUUUAUUGUGGACUUCUCUUAGAACUAAACUUAGCAGGUCAGCAUUCCGCAAUGUUGUAAACUUUGCUUUUUGUUAUAGAAGACAAGAGCUGGGAUAAAAAAAAAAUAAUCCAGACAAUUGUAUCCAAGGUAAUACACGCAGAUAAAGUUUUUUCAUGAACCAUGAUGCUAAGGAGCAGAACUAGCAUACUCUGGCUGUAUGUCUGUGUUGACCCUGGAAGGUGGGUGAUGGAGAAACUGGAAUUUGGACCUUUAAUUCGAAUACAACUCUAAGUAUCAUUCUGCUGCUAUCCUUCAAUAUACUGCAUCUCUCAUGGUGGCAGUAAAUAGCUUAGAAGACACUCAGUGCAUUCUGUUUUGGUUAAACCUCUGUGGAGGAAGGUUAAUUAGCAGUCCCAGUCUUGAGGACAGUAGCAUCUUGAAGGGAGAAAUAUGGAUCUCUUAUAGAAGUCCCAGCACCAUCCUUAAACUACAACUCCCAGGAUUCCUUGAGAGGAACCAGAUUGGUAGUGUAAAUACACCCAUGGUCCCUUGUUCUACUGUGGCUUCAGGUGACUGAUUUCUGUUAAUAUGCAGCCUAGCAACACUUCUGUUACAAAUAAAAUGGACGUUUUUUAAAAAAUAGAAAUGUGCAUGCUUUCGGAAAACCAAACAUUGAUUUCUUUGUAAUGGCUGUUUAAUGCAUUACCAUCACUGUAUUGCUUUAGAUAUAGUGAAAAUUUCCUCCAUAAAAGGAAGGAGGGCUGUUUAUUUUCAAGACAUAAAGGAGAAAAAGGAAAAUAUCAGUGCAAGGAAAAGAAAGUAGCUUAUUCCUUUUACAGAUGCCUGAUUAGUUGGUAUUUUUGUGUGUGUUUAAAUGCAAGGUUCUGCCUGUAUGCAGUAAUGACAUGUACCCUCCAGUUUUCUUGUCUCAUAAUAAACUGUUCUGAACUCCUGCGCUGAGCUAGUUAAGUAUU